rnacentral:rRNA from 1 species
GUAAGGAAUAUUGCGCAAUGGACGAAAGUCUGACGCAGCGACGCCGCGUGGGGGAUGAAGGUCUUCGGAUUGUAAACCCCUUUCGGCAGGGAAGAUGGAACGGGUAACCGUUCGGACGGUACCUGCAGAAGCAGCCACGGCUAACUUCGUGCCAGCAGCCGCGGUAAUACGAAGGUGGCAAGCGUUGUUCGGAUUCACUGGGCGUACAGGGAGCGUAGGCGGUUGAGUAAGCCCUCCGUGAAAUCUCCGGGCCUAACCCGGAAAGUGCAGAGGGGACUGCUCGGCUAGAGGAUGGGAGAGGAGCGCGGAAUUCCCGGUGUAGCGGUGAAAUGCGUAGAGAUCGGGAGGAAGGCCGGUGGCGAAGGCGGCGCUCUGGAACAUUUCUGACGCUGAGGCUCGAAAGCGUGGGGAGCAAACAGGAUUAGAAACCCGGGUAGUCC